UUACGGCCAUGUUACAUUGAAACACUGGAUUGCAUAUGAUCACCGAAGUUAAGCAACGUCAAGCCUAGUCAGUACCUAGAAGGGUGACUACUUGGAAAUACCAUGUGCU